ensembl:lncRNA
UGGGGAGAGGAGGGUGAGUUGCUCCUCCAAUGGGGACAGUCCUCAAUACAGCUGGUCUGUGGAUGGGAGGCCUCUGAGUGAAAUCUUAACCAAUCAGAGCACAGGAAGUCAAACCAAGACCAAUAAGACAUCUCCAAACACACAAGAAGCAUCUCCCAGUGGUUCAGCUGAAAGGCCGGAGUCUAGUCCUGAUCUUGACACUGAUCUCAGGUCAUCUACCCUCACACUCCCAGAGGGCAUUCAGGGACAUCUCACCUGCUCAGCCAGAAACAGCAUCAGCAGCGCCAACGAAACCCAACUGCUACCCUCCUGCAUAACCACCCCAGCACCACCUGUCUCCACACCUCCACAUCACCUCAACUCUACUGUAUCUGUGACAACCAUGGUAACUAACACCACGGUUGGGCCACUGUCUGAAUCAGUCAUCAUCCUUGGAGCAGUUCUGGGAGGUGUUGUGUUUCUGUGUGUGUUCAUGGCAGUGUUUUGCAUCUGCAAAAAGAAGAAGAAAGACGUACCCACAAUAGCUAACAGCUACGAGGUGGAGUAUGCAGAAGUGUCCUUCAAGAAGAAGGGGGAGACUGAGGAGAGGAGAAAAUUGGCGGAGACGGUGGACUACGGAGAGGUGACCUUCCGGAAGAAGGGGGAAACUGAGGAGAAGAGAACAUUGGCGGAGACGGUGGACUACGGAGAGGUCAGACUACCAAAACCUACCUGCAACACACAGCAGGAGGACAGUGUGUAUGCGCAGGUGCGCAGAGGACAGUGACAGGACACUGUCUCUCUGUGUGUGUUUGUGUGUGUGUGAGAGUGUAUGUGACUCUAUGUGUGGGUGUGUGUGUGCGUAUGUGUGUGUGAGAGUGUAUGUUACUUUAUGUGUGUGUGUGUGUGUGUGUGUGUGUGUGUGUGUGUGUGUGUGUGUGUGUCCCCAAACCCAAUCAUGUCAGCAGCUCAGAGACAAAGUGAGGGAGAGAGAGAGAGUUUGUGUUGCAUAUAUAUUAGUGCUGUCAGUUUAACGCGUUAUUAACGGCGUUAACGCAAACCCAUUUUAACGCCGUUAAUUUUUUUAUCGCGAGAU